rfam:Eubacterium sp. CAG:38 genomic scaffold, scf17
GGGGUAGUAAAGGUUUCGACAGGGGUUUUGAAGCUGGUGAAGCUAUCCGCAGGUGAUGCGUCAACUCACAAAUCUAAAUAUAAACGCUAACGAAAAUUUAGCUUACGCUGCCUAGUUGCAGCAGUCUGACCUAGAGUACCCGUACUUUAGGACCCAGGCUUCGACUAUACGGGAAACGACGCCGGUAAAGCUUUGAACCGGUGGGCGUAUUAUGAAGCUACUAAAGGUAUCAGGGUGUUGAUUUCCUGCUACCGGAGGGAAUGAGGGUUUACCCACAAUAACCAACUAUGAUAGUAGAAGAACAGUGAAUGGGCUUUUGGACACGGGUUCGACUCCCGUCUACUCCACUA